UCACAGAAGCAUGAAAGAGGGGCAGUGACAGACACGAAACCUAGCACGAAAUACCAUGGAAGAACUCCUGUCUCGUAUUCACCGGAAAUUAACUCUUUACCGACUUGAUCUGCUUCUAAACAAAGCAAAAUGCGGGGAAGGGAGGAAAGAUUGGUGAAAACAAUAAAUCAAAUCUGAAAGUCCUUUUGUAUUGAAAUCAGGGGGUGGGAACUAAUAUUGGCAUGCACAAAAAUAUGAGGAAGUUAUCUUGCUCUAUUGAUUUGACACAGAAAUGAAAUUAUCUCUACUUGAUGUCUCACUCCUCCUGAGCCAAGCCUUUGUGCAGGAUUCCAUCUUGAUUCCAGGAAAGUAACAAAGGACACAACCACAACAACAAUCAAUUCAUAUUGCAAAACAUUCAGCUAUAUCAGUUACAUCGUGUCUGUGAUUCCAUAUCAGCUGCCCUGGGAAGUACAUACAGGUCAUGGAGGUAAAUGGAGGGUCAUGGCUCCAAAGGAGCAAGAUUUUUAUGGAAAAUGACCUGUGAAAGCAAUGCAGAAGAAAAACAAACCAGAUCUUUCAGCUUCACAAGGGGAGCAUAUUCAAGCAGCUACACUUGUCAGUUUGAAAGAGGCUACUGAAACAUUAUCUGCAGCGCAUUUAUCCAAAGCACUGACGGUACAAACAGCAUUUGGAAAGAUCAUUAAGUGGUCCGCUAAGACGCUCAGCGAUUUUCAAGUGGUCCGUGAAAAAAAAAGUUUGAGAACCACUGAUCUAGAUUUUUCAAUCAUGAGGCUUAGUCCAGAUGUAUACUUUUUCUUAAGGCAAGUUCACUUUCUCUGUCAUGAUGUAAUGAUGCAUUUUAAUUAUUGUAAUUAUUUUUAUAAUUAAGUUUGAUGUACAACAAUAAAGGAUACAUUGUAAAAAUCAAA